rnacentral:rRNA from 1 species
GCGGCGGACGGGUGAGUAAUGCUUAGGAAUCUGCCUAUGAGUGGGGGACAACAUUCCGAAAGGAAUGCUAAUACCGCAUACGCCCUACGGGGGAAAGCAGGGGAUCUUCGGACCUUGCGCUAAUAGAUGAGCCUAAGUCGGAUUAGCUAGUUGGUGGGGUAAAGGCCUACCAAGGCGACGAUCUGUAGCGGGUCUGAGAGGAUGAUCCGCCACACUGGGACUGAGACACGGCCCAGACUCCUACGGGAGGCAGCAGUGGGGAAUAUUGGGCAUUGGGCGAAAGCCUGAUCCAGCCAUGCCGCGUGUGUGAAGAAGGCCUUUUGGUUGUAAAGCACUUUAAGCGAGGAGGAGGCUACUUGGAUUAAUACUAUUGGAUAGUGGACGUUACUCGCAGAAUAAGCACCGGCUAACUCUGUGCCAGCAGCCGCGGUAAU